ACAGCUCAGAACAGCACAGAUUACUUCCAUUCAAAACUCACUUAGUUACACUGAAUCACUUCUUUAAAUAAUUUUUCUUAGCAUGAUCAAAUAACUUAUUUUAAAUCAUUCUCUUCUAUAGCAAUCAUCAUUUCCAGAAUAUAUAUCAGCCUAUUAAAAUCAUUCUUGCAUCAAGCAUAAGCAUAAUCAUGUGGUUAACUUAUAUAGUUUCUCAUUUUAACUUUUCAUUGGUUUGCUUAAAGCUUUUAUUUAGGUGGUGGUUGCUCCUGGGAUCUCAAAUAACUAGGCCCCACUUGACAACGUUCACAGUCAUAGCAGGAAAUAGACAUUUUUACACUUCAAUGUAAUAUUCUUACCCAGUUGAUCAUAUUCACCCCAAACGUGGUGACAUAAACCUCAACAUGUCGAUGAUGAUUCCCAGAGAAAAUGGUGACUCUUCAUCAAAGAGCGUGUCUGUAUGGUGGCCGACAGGUGCACACGCGCUGCAAACGGCAAAAGCGCUGCAAACACAGGAAUGAUCCAAAACCAAAAACUCACAAACACAUAAAACACAUGCAAGAAAAAUAUGCUGCAACAGAAACAUGCUGCAAUCACAGAAACGACGCAGAAGCAGACUUGCAAAAUCACAAAACAAAUGCAAACGAAAAAUGCUGCAAAUACAUAAAAACACACACAAAACCUCUAGAACAACCGCAAGAGAAAAACGCUGCAAAUUCAAUCCACAACGGAAGUACACCAGGUCAAUCGUUUUUCCGUUUCAAAAUAAAAUCUAAAAAAACCAAUAAACCACGUUGUGUUUUUGUUUUUCAGUUUUUAAAACCAAAAUGUAGAAACGUAUUAUUUAACUAAUGGAAAAACGACAGUGUUGGAUUUUUGCUCUUGCUUUUUAACCUGAAAUACAAAAUACGGCUGUUGUUUUAAUUUGUUGCAACACCGUAAGUCGCUGAUUAAGAACAGUUUAAAGCUGGUCUGGCUCGUGAACACAUCUAGAAUGGCUGUACUGGAGCGCUUUUCCAAUUUCAUUCUCUUUGAAAGUGACAAAACCCAUGCAGAAAUCAUGGAGCUCCACAUUGCUCUAUGUUGUAUUAUAUUAUAUUAUAUUAUCCAUCCAUCCAUUUUCCUCCACUUAUCCGGGGCCGGGUCGUGGAGGCAGCAGGCGAAGCAGGUCGUUCCAGACGUCCCUCCCCCCAGCAACGCUUUCCAGCUCUUCCGGGGGGAUCCCGAGGCGUUCCCAGGCCAGACGAGAUAUGGAAUCCCUCCAGCGAAUUCUGGGUCUACCCCGGGGUCUCCUCCCAGACGGACGUGCUCGGAAAACCUCCAAAGGAAGUCUCCCUGGAGGCAUCCGUAUCAGAUGGCCAAACCACCUCAGCUGGCUCCUUUCGAUGCGAAGGAGCAGCGGCUCUAUUCCGAGCUCCCUCCGGAUGUCUGAGCUCCUCACCCUAUCUCUAAGGCUGAGCCCAGCCACCCUACGGAGGAAGCUCAUUUCGGCCGCUUGUAUCCGCGAUCUUGUUCUUUCGGUCACUAUCCAAAGCUCAUGACCAUAGGUGAGGGUUGGGACGUAGAUGGACUGGUAAAUCAAGAGCUUCGCUUUACGGCUCAGCUCCCUCUUCACCACGACGGUCCGGUACAACACCUGCAUUACUGCUGACGCCGCACCGAUCCACCUGUCCAUCUCCCGCUCCAUUUUCCCAUCACUCGUGAACAAGAUCCUGAGAUACUUAAACUCCUUCGCUUGGGGAAGCAACUCCCCCCAACCCGGAGGGAGCAAUCCACCGGUUUCCGGCAGAGAACCAUGGCCUCGGACUUGGAGCUGCUGAUCCGCAUCCCUGCCGCUUCACACUUGGCUGCAAACCGCUCCAGUGCGUGCCGGAGGUCACGGUCUGAGGACGCCAACAAAACCACAUCAUCCGCAAAAAGAAGAGAUGAGAUCCCGAGGCCCCCAAACCGAAAACCCUCCCCACCACGACUGCGCCUUGAAAUCCUGUCCAUGAAAAUCACAAACAGGAUUGGAGACAAGGGGCAGCCCUGGCGGAGUCCAACACCCACCGGAAACGUGUCUGACUUAGUGCCGAGUAUGUGGACACAGCUCUCACUUUGGUCGUACAGGGACCGAACGGCUCAUAGCAACGAGCCCGCGACCCCAUACUCCCACAGUGCACCCCACAAAGCCCCUCGGGGGACACGGUCAUAGGCCUUCUCCAGAUCCACAAAACACAUGUAGACUGGCAGGUCAUACUCCCAUGAUCCCCUCAGGAGCUCCGCAAGGGUAAAGAGCUGGUCCGCUGUUUCACGACCGGGACGGAAUCCGCAUUGCUCCUCCUGAAUCCGAGGUUCGACUAUCGGUCGGAUCCUCCCUUCCAGCACCCUAGAGUAAACUUUCCCGGGGAGUCUGAGAAGUGUGAUACCACGGUAGUUGGCACACACUCUCCGGUCCCCCUUUUUGAAAAUAGGGACCACCACCCCGGUCUGCCACUCCACAGGUACUGUACCCGAUGCCCACGCGACAUUGUAUAGACGUGUCAACCAGGACAGUCCAACAAUGUCCAGAGCCUUCAGCAUCUCAUCGCGAAUCUCGUCCACACCUGGCGCCUUGCCACCGAGGAGCUUCUUAACUACCUCGGCGACCUCUGCCACGGAUAUGGACGAAGAUCCCCCUGAAUCUUAUAUUAUAUUAUAUUAUAUUAUAGAGUGCAUAAUGAGAGUCAGGAGGUUCUGCAUGGAGAACAAUUUGAGAAGACGCAGAGGUCUUUCUGUGGAAAAGACCUCUGAGCUUGCAUUGUGAUAAAGGGGAUCUUUUUAAACUUGAAAAAAAAUGUAGGGAAAAAGAAAACAUACACUGGAAUGUCUCAAGUCAGUGUCUAAUGCUGAUUUGGAGAGAGCUGUAAUUUGUUCUAUGAACCAGAUAUGAUAUUUUCAGUGCCAUAUUUUAUUAACUGUAGAAUGUUAUGUUUCACUUUUGUGUGUUUUAUAGACAGGUCCGACAUAUGGACGAACGUUUAUGACGGGAUGUUAUCUAUUGGUGCCGGUGUUCCAGUUUAACUGGUGAUAGUUUCCGUCUCCAGAUGUUUCGUAGCAGAUUUGACCAGACCAGACCUGGCUGUGUGUGAAAUUAAGAUACUAGAUAAAGAAGAGCUCACCGAAAAACGUCGGCAUCACUGCUGAAUAAAGUCUAUAUCAAUGUAAAUAUCACCUACAGACAGUAAAAGGAAAUAUGCUGGCGAAAUAAAAAAACACGUAUUUUUAUUAAGGGUGAGAGGAAACGAUGGAAUCCCGAUAUUACGGAGUCCCCUAGGGGACAUCCUUCGUGUUGGUGUUUUAUUCCUCCACGUUUAUUUUUCAAACACGGACUUCGAGAUUAAAGAUGGACUUCGCGUUUGAAGACGGACUUCGUCUUUGGCCGGAGCAGUCUUACUUGGCAGACCGGCUGAUCAUCACCCUGGAUCAUUACACGCCAAACGGUAAAUAAUUAUUUUAAUGAAUACUGCAGUGCUUUGUCUAUUGUUCUGAACUCUGCUUAUCUCAAGUCACAUUAGCCCUUUCUGUAUUUAUAGCAGUUGGACUGCUUCGGUUUGCACGUUAGCAUGAAGCUAAAAGGAGCGCUCGUUUUUGUUCACCGUUUCUACUGACCAAACCGCGACUGUUUCUCUGAAUGUAUAAAAAGCGCACCGCCCCACGCGCGGUAUCACUGAACAAAAGCGAGCGCUCCUUUUAGCUUCAUGCUAGCGGUUGGGUGUGUGGAUGGAAUCAUGUAACAAUAAAAAUAUUGUCAGAUUUCUGAUUGCCCUGUUUUUGACCUAUUUUGACCUAAUAUGAAAACGGUUGAGAAUUGUUGUCAUAGACAGUAACAACAUGAUGUAAACUACAGUUAUCCCUCUUUACUCUCGGUAUAGGGUGUUAAUCACAUUUAUUUUAUUUUGGCUGCCCAAGUGCUGUCACAGAUGUAGACUCUCCAGGCUGGUCUCCGACGCUUCAUCUCGGCUACCAGAGAGGUAAACCAGUGACAGAGGCAUCACGUCAAUGUGAGGAAAGAUUGAGGGCCAGAAAAGCUAAUGAGACCAACACUGACACAGAAGAGACCUGCACCAACACCACCAGGGCUUUGCUGGAGCUCCAUGAGGGCUCACAGAUCCCACAAUCAGAACACUUAAAAGAUGUUGGAUGCCAGACUGACCUGACCAUGAAUGACCUUCAGAAGAUGCAGGAUGUUCUCAGUCACUCAACAGAGGUGCUGACUGACCUCAGGAAAAAAGUACUGGAUGCAGAAUUUAAUCCAGAGGCUUUUCAGAACAAUGAAAAGACAAAAUUUUACACAGGAUUGCCCAGUGUCUUAGUUUUAAUGCAGGUGUUUAGGUUAUGUGAGCCAUAGAUCACCUCAAGUGGUUUGUCUGCACUUUCCAAAUUUGAACAGCUCAUUUUGGUCUUAAUUCGGUUAAGACUUAAUCUUCCACUGCAGGAUUUGGCUUUUAGAUUCAAGAUUUCAUGUUCCACUGCUUCUCGAAUUUGGCACAAGAUGAUUGACAUACUUCAUGCAAGAACAGAGUUUCUAAUUGAGUGGCCGGAGCGAGAGGUGUUGCAAGCUACCAUGCCAAUGUCAUUUAGGCAAGCAUUUGGAUGCAAGGUUGCAGUAAUUGUGGACUGUUUCGAAGUGUUCAUAGAAAGGCCUUCUAAUUGACGAGCAAGAGCACAAACCUGGUCCAAUUAUAAACACCACAACACUGUCAAAUUUCUCAUUGACAUUGCACCUCAAGGAUAUGUCACAUACAUCUCUCGUGCUUGGAGAGGGAGAGUAAGUGACAAGCACUUAACUGAAGAGAGUGGUCUGCUGAAGAAUUUGUUGCCCGGUGACAUUGUUCUGGCAGAUCGCAGCUUUAACAUAGGGGAAAGUGUUGGAUUUUACUGUGCUUCAUUGCUUAUGCUUGCAUUCACAAAAGGGAAGUGCCAGCUAUCUGCAUAUGAGGUUGAACAAACAAGAAAACUUGCUAAUGUGCGCAUUCAUGUGGAAAGAGUAAUAGGAUUAGUGCGAAGAAAGUACCAAAUUCUGCAGAGUAGUGCAAUGCCCAUUGAACAUAUGGCUGCAAAAGCAGGAGAUUCACUGGCACUGAUUGAUAAGAUUGGGGUUAUUCGCUGUGCAUUAGCUAACCUUUCUGUCUCUGUUGUCCCACUGGACUAAGCAAUAGACAUUAUAUUCAUCCAAAGUAAAACAGAAAAAAAACACACUUGUAUAUAUUGACAGAAUUGGCAGAAAACCACAGUUCCACCAUCACUGUGCAAUCUUUGAGAAAUACCAUCUCCUCAGCUUCGACAACCUCAGAACUUUCAAAAAGUGCUUAAUAAGUGCAAAAAUUUGUCUACCCCAUGAUUGUUUCAAAGGAGAGUUUCUCUCUCUUUUUUAAGUGCAAAAAUUAGCCGAAUUGUAAAGGAAGGUUUCUCCCUCCAUUUAAAAUUGGAAAUAUUAGACUAGAAGUACAAAUAUCAGCCUAAUUCUGAUGUUGUCAAAGGUGGGUUUCACUCUUUCUUAAAAAAAAUAAAUGAAGUAUGUAUAUAUGUAUUUGUCAACAACAAAGACAGGAGUGCUUAUAUGAAGCUUGUUUUUGUAGGUUGGUUAAUGUUGAGUGAUUCUGUAUAUAUUCUGUUAAUUAAUAUGCUGUAGUUAUGUUUUAACCCUCCUGUUGUCCUCACAUCAAGGAAAGGAAAGAGGUGAAGAAGCUAGGAAGGAUGGAGGAAAGAAGCAUUUUCUGUCUCUUACUUUGAAAUUCCAAAAAAGAUUUUCAAUGUUUAACUUUAUACUUUUACUUGAGUAAAGUUCUUUUUACACAAGUAUCUGUUCUAUUAAAGAAUGUGUGUACUUUUGGCACCUCUGUAUAUUGUACAUGUGUUUUUAUAUUUAUGUUUAUUUAUAUAUAGGCAUUAAAAAUAUUUCAUACUUUGAA